rfam:Ictidomys tridecemlineatus contig050401, whole genome shotgun sequence.
UAAGGUGUAGCUCAUUGGAAGAGCAUGUGUUUUUGCAUGUACAAGCCCCUGGGUUCAAUCCCUAGCACCAAAA